rnacentral:rRNA from 1 species
UACGUAGGGGGCAAGCGUUGUCCGGAUUUAUUGGGCGUAAAGAGCGUGUAGGCGGUUAUGUAAGACAGGUGUGAAAUCCCAGGGCUUAACCUUGGAACUGCAUUUGUGACUGCAUAGCUAGAGUACGGUAGAGGGGGAUGGAAUUCCGCGUGUAGCAGUGAAAUGCGUAGAUAUCAGGAGGAACACCAGUGGCGAAGGCGGUGCUCUGGGCCGGAACUGACGCUGAGGAGCGAAAGCGUGGGGAGCAAACAGG